rnacentral:tRNA from 1 species
GGCACUCUGCCCGAGUGGUUAAGGGGUAAGUCUCGAAUCUAAGCUAUUCGAUCGUUCCUUUGAGACGAGUUAACUUAUAGGCUCUGCCUGCGUCGGUUCAAAUCCGACGGGUGUCG